GUCGGUAGCCAGUUUUGCUUCCCUCGACAUGUCCCUCUGCCACACCAGGCUUGAGACUAGACGGGAGGAAAGAGGAAUUUAGAGAGAGAAAGAGGGGAUCGUUGGAUUGAAAGAGAUGUUCAGGAAUAUAGAGAGAGAAAAAGGGGAGAGUUGGGGUGAGUAGAGAGAGAAGAGGAAGAAAAGUUUAGACGGGAGGCUUUGGAGCCACAGGAGGAAGAGGAAUUUAGAGAGAAAAAUAGGGGAGAGUUGGGGUGAGUAGAGAAAGAAGAGGAAGAUUGGAGCUUCGGAGUUAUAGGACGUGCUUGACCUGCAAGUUAUUGAAGCUCAAAAUCUUCAUCAAAGUUUUCUAGGCAUCAUCUCCAAUAAGGAUGCAUCCAAUUGAUUUUAGCAUGACAAACAUUGAAGGGCUGCAAAGACACCCAAAAUAUGGAGCCCGGGUUGAGAGUCAUGCAUACAAGAACAUGUGGGAUGCUUUACGUAGCAUAGUGCAAGCAGAGGGUUGGGCUGGUUGAAGGGCUGCAAAGACACCCAAAAUAUGGAGCUCGGGUUGAGAGUCAUGCAUACAAGAACAUGUGGGAUGCUUUACGCAGCAUAGUGCAAGCAGAGGGUUGGGCCGGUCUUUAUAAAGGCCUUGUCCCUUCUAUUAUCAAGGCAGCCCCAGCUGGGGCGGUCACUUUUGUGGCUUAUGAAUACACAUCGGAUUGGUUAGACUCCAUUUUAACAUGACAUAGCUCUGAUUCUUUUGCCAUGUCAUUCUUUGUUCUUAUAACGCAAAUCUCCAAUUCUUUACAUUCAUUGCUAGGUAAGCCUUCGUUCUAUUUCUCACUUAACGUGAGAGCCAUUGUUAAGGAGUGAGGUUCCCCCUCAUUUUGACAUGUUAGUGAGAAAAUUGUAUCUGUAAUUUUGUAUCUGGAGCACUGAUCCACGAGAGAAGUUUUUGGAAGCUCCAUGAAGACUCUCCAGCUACAAAAAUGUGGGAUCUUUUGUUGCCGUUCAUGCGUGGGCGAGAGAGAGAGAGAGAGAGAUUUUGACUAGAAGGAACUGUAAUAGUUAUUUGUAUAACUUCUUUAAUUGGUAUUUUUGCAUAUUUAUCUUAAGUGAUGUUAUUUCCAUGCUUUUAGUA